UACGUAGGGUGCGAGCAUUAAUCGGAUUUACUGGGCGUAAAGCGUGCGCAGGCGGCCCGUUAAGACAGGUGUGAAAUCCCUGGGCUCAACCUAGGAAUUGCGCUUGUGACUGGCGGGCUCGAGUACGGUAGAGGGGGGUGGAAUUCCUGGUGUAGCAGUGAAAUGCGUAGAGAUCAGGAGGAACACCGGUGGCGAAGGCAGCCCCCUGGGCCUGUACUGACGCUCAUGCACGAAAGCGUGGGGAGCAAACAGG
rnacentral:rRNA from 1 species